rnacentral:rRNA from 1 species
UACGUAGGGUGCAAGCGUUGUCCGGAAUUAUUGGGCGUAAAGAGCUCGUAGGCGGUUUGGCGCGUCUGCUGUGAAAACUCGGGGCUUAACCCCGGGCCUGCAGUGGGUACGGGCAGACUAGAGUGCGGUAGGGGAGACUGGAAUUCCUGGUGUAGCGGUGAAAUGCGCAGAUAUCAGGAGGAACACCGGUGGCGAAGGCGGGUCUCUGGGCCGUAACUGACGCUGAGGAGCGAAAGCGUGGGGAGCGAACAGG